GGAAUCUUCGGCAAUGGACGAAAGUCUGACCGAGCAACGCCGCGUGAGUGAAGAAGGUUUUCGGAUCGUAAAACUCUGUUGUUUGAGAAGAACAAGGAUGAGAGUAACUGUUCAUCCCUAGACGGUAUCUAACCAGAAAGCCACGGCUAACUACGUGCCAGCAGCCGCGGUAAUACGUAGGAGGCAAGCGUUGUCCGGAUUUAUUGGGCGUAAAGCGAGCGCAGGCGGUCUCUUAAGUCUGAUGUGAAAGCCCACGGCUCAACCGUGGAGGGUCAUUGGAAACUGGGAGACUUGAGUGCAGGAGAGAAAAGUGGAAUUCCACGUGUAGCGGUGAAAUGCGUAGAGAUGUGGAGGAACACCAGUGGCGAAGGCGGCUUUUUGGCCUGUAACUGACGCUGAGGCGCGAAAGCGUGGGGAGCAAACA
rnacentral:rRNA from 1 species